rnacentral:tRNA from 2 species
AGGGCUAUAGCUCAGUUAGGUAGAGCACCUCGUUUACACCUACGGUUCGAGUCCGUAUAGCCCUAAUAUUCCUA